UUUUUGGGAUGAAAAUCAAGAUGAAUACCCCCAAACCUAAACCUAACAUUGUCCUCAAUGUUAAGAAAUAAUCUAAGAGAAUUGGGUUGCCUCCCAACAAGCGCUAAGUUUAUUGUCUUCAGCCAGACAUAGUGAGAUAGUUUUUGCAUCUCCUUCUAUGAGGUCAUCUAUUUUGUCUAUCAUAAAACACUCAAUUUCCCUUGCGGGUUGGUCG
rnacentral:lncRNA from 1 species